rnacentral:rRNA from 1 species
AUUGAACGCUGGCGGCAUGCUUUACACAUGCAAGUCGAACGGUAACAGGCCGCAAGGUGCUGACGAGUGGCGAACGGGUGAGUAAUGCAUCGGAACGUGCCCAGUCGUGGGGGAUAACGCAGCGAAAGCUGCGCUAAUACCGCAUACGAUCUAUGGAUGAAAGCGGGGGACCGUAAGGCCUCGCGCGAUUGGAGCGGCCGAUGUCAGAUUAGGUAGUUGGGGGGGUAAAGGAUCACCAAGGCAACGAUCCGUAGCUGGUCUGAGAGGACGAACAGCCACUCUGGGACUGCGACACGGCCCAGACUCCUACGGGAGGCAGCAGUGGGGAAUUGUGGACAAUGGGCGCAAGCCUGAUUCAGCAAUGCCGCGUGCAGGAAGAAGGCCUUCGGGUUGUAAACUGCUUUUGUACGGAACGAAACGGUCCUGGUUAAUACCCGGGGCUAAUGACGGUACCGUAAGAAUAAGCACCGGCUAACUACGUGCCAGCCGCCGCUGUAAAAC